rnacentral:tRNA from 1 species
GUUUCUGUAGUGUAGUGGUUAUCACGUUCGCCUCACACUCGAAAGGUCCCCGGUUCGAAACCGUGCAAAAACA